AUACAGAGGGUGCGAGCGUUAAUCGGAUUUACUGGGCGUAAAGCGUGCGUAGGUGGUUGGGUAAGUCAGAUGUGAAAGCCCCGGGCUUAACCUGGGAACUGCAUUUGAUACUGCCUAGCUAGAGUUUGGUAGAGGGAAGUGGAAUUCUAGGUGUAGCGGUGAAAUGCGUAGAUAUCUGGAGGAACACCAGUGGCGAAAGCGGCUUCCUGGACCGAAACUGACACUGAGGCACGAAAGCGUGGGGAGCAAACAGGAUUAGAAACCCCGGUAGUCC
rnacentral:rRNA from 1 species